GCCGAGGGGGUGGUGGGUGGGGGCUGGUUGCCACCAAAAAGGAGGUCACAGCAUCCCCCUGAUGGGUCGGGACUCGGCUGAAGGGCUGCGCUGGGAGCAGAGGUGACCCCGGCGGGUGGGAGCUGCUGCCUGCAGAUGGGUCCCGCGAAGGUGAGCACCCAGUUUUGGGGAGCACGGGGGCGAUGGGGUGCUGCAUGGGGCCAUGGUUAGGACGAGCUGACCCCGCUGAGCGAGCUGUCGAGGGCUGGCACAGCCUCGCUGUGGCGGCAGGGGUGUAGGGAGCUCAAAGCCACCUGGCCUGGGGAAACGGGUGCCACCGGCUGUCACCCACCUGCAGCCCCCCAGGAGUUCCCUGAGGGUAUCGGGGUGCAGGAAAACCCCCAGAGCAUCUCCCAGCCCUUGUGGGUCCCUUGCAGAGAGCGUCACCUGCAGCUGCCAGCGCCCAGUGCUGGGGACACAGGAUGGGGACACGCUUGUCCCUCAGCCCCGCCUGACCUCUCCGCCGCUCGGUCUUUGGAGCCUGCCAGCAAAUUCCCGUGGAGCCAUUUUUAGCUCUCGCCUGGCCCGAGUGCCAGCCAAGGGCUCCCAGGAGCCCUUUAUACUCCUGACAGCUCUGGCCCACUUUGUAAAUAAAGAGGGUGCCUGUUCCCUGGCUGCGCCGUCACCCCGUCCCCCCGCUGGCCCCUGCCCCGGGCACGAGCCCCGGCUGCGGUGGGUACGUGCCCGGUGGCCCCUGGGCACCUCUUCUCCCUCCCGCACCCCAGCCCUGCAAGCUGCAGGCUCCACCCGUGGGCCGCAGCGUGGAAACCAGGGAGGGAGAGAAAAAUAACAGCGAUUACAAAAAUAAGGAAAAAAAAAAAUUCUUAAAAAAAAAUACCCCAACUUGCUCCGGUCAGAGCUCAGCCCAGGGGUGUUUGGGGUAGAGAGGGGCUGUGUGGCCGGCUGUGCAUGCACGGUGUCCGGGUGUGCAUGCACAGUGUCUGGGGGUGUGUGUAGUGUCCAGGUGUGCAUGCACAGUGUCUGGGGGUGUGUGUGUAGUGUCCAGGUGUGCAUGCACAGUGUCCAGGUGUGCAUGCACAGUGUCUGGGGGUGCAUAUACAGCGUCAGGGUGUGCAAACACAGUGUCAGGUUGUGCAUAUAGUGUCCAGGUGUUCGUACCCAGUGUCAGGGUGCGCAUGCACAGUGUCCAGGUGUGCAUCCCCAGUGUCUGGCUGUGCAUUCCCAGUGCCCGGGUGUCUGUGCACGGUGUCCAGUUGUGCGCAGAGUCCGUGCACCGCCCUGUGGCAACAGGCAGAAACAGGCAGCAGGGCUGCAGCCCCAGCCUGGCCUCCAGCCCAGCACCACUGGGGGUGCAGGAGGAGCCCUGGCUCCAGCCUGCAGCCGGGGGGCGGGGGGGACGAGCCCUGCAAUAGGGGUUUUGCAGCAGACCCACAUCCUCAGCCCGUGGGGGGGUGUCCAGAGCAGCAUCGGGGUGCCAGUGCUGCUCCCCUGCACCCCAGGGGGCUGCCGGCAGGACGUUGUUUAUCCAAGGGAGCAUCCCGCCUCCCCGCCCACCCAGCAAUCACCUCCCUCCUCUCUUGCCCUUCGUCAGUGCUUUAUUUAUUCCCCCUCCCUGUGCUGCUCUGCCUGGGCCCGGGGUCCCUGGGGAAGGGGUGCUGGCCCCCAGGGUGGGAUGGGCUGUGCUGCAGAGGGGGCUGGAAGCAGAAGUGCCCAACAGAGAUGCAGCUCUUCCUUUCUCUCUUUUUUUUUUUUUUUUUUUAAAAAAAAAAAGACUGUAAAUAUAGAUAGAGCUUUAUUUUGUUAAUAAGACGAUGAGUAACUUAACCUGUAUAUUUCACAUACUUGUUUACAAUUGUCCCCCUCCCUACCCCUUGGCACAAUAAAGGUGACUUUUUGGAGCGGA